rnacentral:rRNA from 1 species
UACGGAGGGUGCAAACGUUGCUCGGAAUCAUUGGGCGUAAAGCGCACGUAGGCGGCCUGUUAAGUCGGGUGUGAAAUCCUGGAGCUCAACUCCAGAACUGCCUUCGAUACUGGCGAUCUUGAGUCCGGAAGAGGUGAGUGGAACUCCUAGUGUAGAGGUGGAAUUCGUAGAUAUUAGGAAGAACACCAGUGGCGAAGGCGGCUCACUGGUCCGGUACUGACGCUGAGGUGCGAAAGCGUGGGGAGCAAACAGG